UAGGGAAUCUUCCGCAAUGGACGAAAGUCUGACGGAGCAACGCCGCGUGAGUGAAGAAGGAUUUCGGUUCGUAAAACUCUGUUGUUAGGGAAGAAAAAAUGUAUAGUAACUAUAUACAAAAGAGACGGUACCUAACCAGAAAGCCACGGCUAACUACGUGCCAGCAGCCGCGGUAAUACGUAGGUGGCAAGCGUUGUCCGGAAUUAUUGGGCGUAAAGCGCGCGCAGGUGGUUUAGAAAGUCUGAUGUGAAAGCCCACGGCUCAACCGUGGAGGGUCAUUGGAAACUAAUAAAAUUGAGGACAGGAGAGAAAAGUGGAAUUCCUAGUGUAGCGGUGAAAAGCGUAGAGAUUAGGAGGAACACCGGUGGCGAAAGCGGCUUUCUGGCCUGCAACUGACACUGAGGCGGAAAGCGUGGGGAGCAAACAGG
rnacentral:rRNA from 1 species